rnacentral:rRNA from 1 species
CCUACGGGUGGCAGCAGUGGGGAAUAUUGGACAAUGGGGGCAACCCUGAUCCAGCCAUGCCGCGUGUGUGAAGAAGGCCCUCGGGUUGUAAAGCACUUUCAGUGAGGAAGAACGCCUGGUGGUUAAUACCAUCAGGAAAGACAUCACUCACAGAAGAAGCACCGGCUAACUCCGUGCCAGCAGCCGCGGUAAUACGGAGGGUGCGAGCGUUAAUCGGAAUUACUGGGCGUAAAGCGCGCGUAGGUGGCUUGAUAAGCCGGUUGUGAAAGCCCCGGGCUCAACCUGGGAACGGCAUCCGGAACUGUCAAGCUAGAGUGCAGGAGAGGAAGGUAGAAUUCCCGGUGUAGCGGUGAAAUGCGUAGAGAUCGGGAGGAAUACCAGUGGCGAAGGCGGCCUUCUGGACUGACACUGACACUGAGGUGCGAAAGCGUGGGUAGCAAACAGGAUUAGAUACCCUUGUAGUC